CCACGGAAGUUCGCGCCAUUUGCAGAGGGGAGGAGCCCAGCCUCUUGCGUUCCUGUGUGAUGGGGCCGGAGCCAGUAAACAGGCUUCCUUCUCGCUCUGCUGUAUAAGAAGAAGAAGUAGGAGAAACAAAAUAAGGAGGAGAAGAAGUAAAAUAAUUUGAGAAGGAAUAUGAAGGGGCUGAAAUCCUGGGCUUUCUGGGCAGAAGGAUCUACGAGCGGGAUCGUGGGUGAAACAUGAAGAUGAUGGUGGACAGGUGAGCUACGCAGUUCGUGGAAGAACCAGGGGUCACAUGGCCUAGAUGCUACCCUAGAUGAGAAAGAGUCCAAUGGUUAUCAACAAGUUCUGAAAGGCAAGGCCUAAGGUCCCAUGUGGACAAGCCAGUAAGAGUUUUCAACUUGGGUGCCAGCAGUAACCGGUUAUACAAAGGAAACUCAACAUUCCUCUUCCCCAAAGUAAACCUAUUGCAAAAACCCCUUCCAUCUAAUAAUAGCAACUCAAGUUCCAGAACAACAAAGAACAGCUGAUCGACUAAUCCAGAGGCCAAACUUCUAACCUCAAAAUGGUCCCAUGGAGUUUCAUACAUUUUCCAGAGUUACAAAACCUGGCUAACACUGAGUCAAGUUAGGAAUCUCAAUCAAUGUCUUUGACCAACUUAAAGUGUUUGUAGAAUGUUUGAUGUACCUAAGAGUGAGUAAAAUGUGAAAGUCAGUUGCUGGAAUUGGUUGAAUGAGAGUGUCGGGUGAAGAAGGCAAGACAUGCAACAGAGGAAGAGGAAUGUGUCAUCCAAGAGGGGAAAAGAGAAAUACUAUUACUAUCUGUUGUCUUGGUGGUUCUCAUGAGGAGUGAAAGGAGAAUUGCUAACCUGGAAGAAGAUCAGAGAAACACACUAUACAGUCCUGCAGUCCUUCACCAAGUAGCAUGGGAUAGAAGCUCUGAACAUCAGCAUAAUUUUGAGGCCUAAAGUGUAAGAAUUGCUAGAAAUGCUGUGGUAUUAUUAAUUAAUUAAUUAAUUAAUAAUUAAUUUAUUUUUGUAUUAACUUAUUUUUAUUUAGAAAUGAUGGUAAAGAUGAUGAUGAUGAUGAUGAUGAUGCUUACAAUAACAGAUACUCAAGGUUAAAAAAUAAUUGUAAAAGUUCAAACUUACAUUAGAGUAAAAGUUAUCCUGGGUGCUGCAACCUUUGUCCAACAUGACUCAUGUAACCAAUAUUAACAGUGUAACCACAAAGCUUUGUAGUGGAAUACAUGUAGGCAAUUAUUUUUACCCAACAAGAUAUACUAGCAUUGGUUUUUCUCUGCCUCUGUUUCUGAUGAGUUGUUCAUACAAUAGAGGCUAGAUAGAAUAUUCAAGUCAAUAUAAUACAAACACAACUACCACUACAUAUGGGCUAGAAGCAGGAACCCCAUCACCCACCUAGAGAAUACAGAAGAAUUGAGAAAGUGAAGAGAAUAUUGUCAGGAUAUUGGAGAAGAGAUUUCUUUGGCGAUGAUGGGCACUCAAGUGAGAUAAUUAGCUUAGGGUCACCUAGGGUCCUAUAAAAAGGUAACCCAGCAGAUAAACACUGCAGGAGUAUUUAACGAUGCUCAGGGGCCUGAGAAAUGGUAAAAUUACACCAUCACCCAGGCCCACGGUGCUGCAUAUAUCACUACAUCUCAUCCCCUGCUGCCCCCCACACUGCAGCCAGAAGUUGUGAAAGGCGCGCAGGAGAGAGCAGAGAAGCAGCAGGACCUCCCCUCUAUCUCCACUGUCGGUGUCCCUACCGAACAGGGUCCUAGAUGGGUAGGAAGGAAGAAUUUAACACUGAGUCAAGUUGGGAAUUUCAAUUGAUAGUUUGACUGAUUAAAAGUGAUUGUAGAAAUGCCUGCAUUAUCGGGCGGGUGCGGUGGCUCACGCCUGUAAUCCCAGCA
rnacentral:lncRNA from 1 species